AUUGAACGCUGGCGGCAUGCCUUACACAUGCAAGUCGAACGGCAGCGGGGGAGAAGCUUGCUUUUCCUGCCGGCGAGUGGCGAACGGGUGAGUAAUACAUCGGAACGUGCCCUGUAGUGGGGGAUAACUAGUCGAAAGAUUAGCUAAUACCGCAUACGACCUGAGGGUGAAAGUGGGGGACCGCAAGGCCUCAUGCUAUAGGAGCGGCCGAUGUCGGAUUGGCUAGUUGGUGGGGUAAAGGCCUACCAAGGCGACGAUCAGUAGCUGGUCUGGGGGGACGAUCAGCCACACUGGGACUGAGACACGGCCCAGACUCCUACGGGAGGCAGCAGUGGGGAAUUUUGGACAAUGGGCGAAAGCCUGAUCCAGCAAUGCCGCGUGUGUGAAGAAGGCCUUCGGGUUGUAAAGCACUUUUGUCCGGAAAGAAAUGGCUCUGGUUAAUACCUGGGGUCGAUGACGGUACCGGAAGAAUAAGGACCGGCUAACUACGUGCCAGCCGCCGCCGUAA
rnacentral:rRNA from 1 species